UACGGGGGGGUAAGCGUUGUUCGGAUUUACUGGGCGUAAAGGGCGCGUAGGCGGUCGUGACAAGUCACUUGUGAAAUCUCCGGGCUUAACUCGGAAAGGUCAGCCGAUACUGCGGGCUAGAGUGCAGAAGGGCAACUGGAAUUCCCAGUGUAGCGGUGAAAUGCGUAGAUAUUGGGAAGAACACCGGAGGCGAAGGCGGGUUGCUGGCCGACACUGACGCUGAGGCGCGAAAGCCAG
rnacentral:rRNA from 1 species